GUGACGUAUUCCAUAGGAUCAUUUCUAUAGGACAUGUCUCUCAUGACUUCUUAAAAGAAGCCACUUAUUCAAACUUGGUUGAUGAGAUAGAACCUGCAAACCCCAGAGUGAGAAAACAUUUGUUUGAUUGCUUGUCCUUGUGACUCAGUCAUCUUAUUAUUCCCGGCGCGCAAGCGUUCAAGGAGCGAUGAUCUUGUCCCUUUGUUUGAGCCUCUCCGGAGGAGUGACUUAGGGUGGGUUUGUAUGGCAGUCUGACAAGUCUUGAGAAAUUCUUUUGUUGUUUCUGUGAGCACUUCCUAGGAGUCCAUGGUUACGUCACACUUAGAUAGAAAAGAUAUCCAUUAAGAACA
rnacentral:snoRNA from 1 species